AUGGCUAGAAGGUUGGAGAAAUUUUAAACUAGUAGUAGGGGGAGAGGGUCAUAGCAAUCUACAAAAUGGAGAUAGGACAGAAAGGAGAUGGGCUUUAGCACAGUAUAAGGGGGGUGGAGAUGGUGGGAGGGGCAAGCUCAGAACAGAGAAGCUAUGUAAUGUUGAUAAUUCCCAAAAUAUACAAGUGACGCAUGAUAUUAAAUGUAUGCUUACUAAUGCAAGGAGCCUAAAUAACAAAAUGGGGGAACUAGAGGCAUUAGCAUACACUAAAC